GAUGAACGCUGGCGGCGUGCUUAACACAUGCAAGUCGAACGAAGCACCUUGAUUUGAUUCUUCGGAUGAAGAUCUUGGUGACUGAGUGGCGGACGGGUGAGUAACGCGUGGGUAACCUGCCUCAUACAGGGGGAUAACAGUUAGAAAUGACUGCUAAUACCGCAUAAGACCACAGCACCGCAUGGUGCAGGGGUAAAAACUCCGGUGGUAUGAGAUGGACCCGCGUCUGAUUAGGUAGUUGGUGGGGUAACGGCCUACCAAGUCGACGAUCAGUAGCCGACCUGAGAGGGUGACCGGCCACAUUGGGACUGAGACACGGCCCAAACUCCUACGGGAGGCAGCAGUGGGGAAUAUUGCACAAUGGGGGAAACCCUGAUGCAGCGACGCCGCGUGAGCGAUGAAGUAUUUCGGUAUGUAAAGCUCUAUCAGCAGGGAAGAAAAUGACGGUACCUGACUAAGAAGCACCGGCUAAAUACGUG
rnacentral:rRNA from 1 species